UGCACUUGCUCCCUUUCUAUACCUCUCCACAGUUCCUAGUACCGGCCAAAAACACUGCUGAAAUGCCUAAUGAAUCAACCAGAAGUUCCUUAGCAUAAUAUAGGAGCGUGGAAGUGAUGUUUAGGGGGGCUUCCCUUGCUUCCCUGAUCCCCAGAUGGAGAGAAAUGGCAAUUUGCCCUUCCAAGGAAGUUAUCACAGUAAUCCAGAUACGAGCUAUGGUGAUGUUCCAUGAUCAUCAGAGGAAUGGGAAGGAAAAGUGUGCAGUCCGUGUGGAUUUCUCUUAUUUUAUUUGUGGCUUGAAUGUACAUUUCUGAGAGAGGGAGUCAGAUGGUGAGAGGGAGAGAUGUUCUUGCUGAGUUUGUUUAUGUUGUGCUUCAGAGGAUGUAAGACAAGCAGCAAAUCAGCAGAGACAAGCGCUGCCACAUGACAGAGGUACUUAAUAAAUAUCUGUUGGAUGAAUGAAUAAAUUUAUAAAGAACUACUACAAAUUCGUAAGAAAAUUAUGGAUAGGAAAUUCACAGAAAAGGAAACCUGAAUGGCCAAGAAUAAAGACAGAUCAGAGUAUGUUGAAAAAAAGGAGGGUGUGAUCUAUGGUCCUGCUGCCCUGAAAUGUCAUAUAGGACAAGAGUCACAGCGGUCAACCUGCAUGAAUAUAAAAAGUAUACAAACACAAGCACAAAACAGGAACAUAAUGGAACCAUUAUGGCUCCCUUUAUUCCGAAGGGAUUGCUAUAGCCUUUGAUGAUGGAGUCGAAGGAGGUAAUUGCUGCCGGUUCAUCUUUAUUCCCACCUUCCACUAGAACUCUAGGAGUCUGCCUGUCUUCCACUGAGGGAGUGAUCUGUGAUCUUAAGCUCGCUGUUGAAACCACCAAUGGAAUUCAGCAUCUUACCGCUCUGAAACUGGCCUCCUUUAAUAUUACCUGAUGGCUCUAACUUUUGUUAUUUUGUUAUAAAAGCUACACUGGGAGAAAAACACCCUAAAAGUAUUUGCUCCUGAUUUAGCUUUUCUAAAAACAGAACUCAAAGUUCAAGGCCGUUAGCUGGGAAAGAAGCUGCUUGUCAAGAUCUUUCACCAAGACCCCGGCGGCCACUCCCUCCGCGCGGCCACUCCCUCGGCAGCGCCUCCAGGCUCCCAACAUUGUUUUCUCCUGAAAAGGACAAGGCCCUACAGAAUUUCUGAGGGGGAUUUUUAAUAGUGAAGUCAUUCCAAAAGCUGCCCAGCUGCCUGCUGAAUUCUUAGAGCAAGGGGGACUUAAGGGAGAUGAUUUCGAGACACAGCUUCAAGAAGAAAGGACACAAUUUGAACUGUUAUAUAUAAAUAGAGUGUGAAGUUAAAUAGUAGAAAAAAUGAGAUCUUUUAUCUUUUUUUUCUUUUUGGCACUGUUUUCUUCUUCUGCUAUCAACUAUUUUUGCUAGUGGAUGAAAAGCUAUAAAAAGAUAAGAAAAAGUUGUAAAUGUGCUUUACUCUGUGAAAGGCCAUAUGGUACCCCUUUACUAUCCUAGGGAACAUUUUUCUAUUGAUCCUUGCAAUGUUAUAUACAUUAUGUUCAAUGGUAGCUAGUUCCACAAUAUUCAAGAGGUAUUUAAUUUCAAAUAAAAUUAUGGCCAGGCAUGAUGGCUCAUGCCUGUAAUCCCAGCACUUUGGGAGGCCAAGGCAGGUAAAAUCACUUGAGGCCAGGAGUUCAAGACCAGUCUGGUCAUCAUGGUGAAACCCCGUCUCUACUCAAAACACAAAAAUUAGCUGGGCGUGGCGGUGCAAACCUGUAAUCCCAGCUACUUGGGAGGAUGAGGCACAAGAAUCGUUUGAACCCGGGAGGUGGAGGUUGCAGUGAGCUGAGAUCACGCCACUGCUCGCUAACCUGGGCGACAGAGCGAGACUGUCUCAAAAAAAAAAAAAAAAUUACGCUUGAAUCAGUUUAAUAAGAAAACCAUCUGAAUUAUGAUUUGCCUUUCAUUUACUGAAGUUCAGUGUCUCCUGAGUUUUUGUACAUCCUACCCAAAAGAGGGGUAGGCGCAUGAGAUCUGCCUCUAAAGCUUUAAAAAGUAAAUGUACAGUAUUUAAGUCUGUUUCCUGUCUUCUAUACACAUUUAAAUGCAUAAUGCAAAUAAAUACAAAAGUCAUAGCCUUUAUUUUAUUUUAUUUUGAGACAAGUCUUGCUCUGUCGCCCAGGCUGGAGUGCAAUGGCGUGAUCUUGGUUUACUGCAACCUCCACUUCCCGGGUUCAAGCGAUUCUCCUGCCUCAGCCUCCUGAGUAGCUGGGGUUACAGGUGUGUGCCACCACACCUGGCUAAUUUUUGUAUUUUUAGUAGAGACAAGGUUUCACCAUGUUGGCCAGGCUGGUCUUGAACUCCUGACCUCAAGUGAUCUGCCCGCCUCAGCCUCCCAAAAUGCUGGGAUUACAGGCGCCCAGCCAUAGCCUUUAUUUUUAAUGCUUGCUAUGUGACUACUGCUCAGAUUCCCUAUUUAAUUUCUGUAUCAUUCCUUUCAUGUUUACUAGUUGUAGUUGGGCCAGUUACUAUCUAUUCCUGGGUAUAUCUAAGAGAUCUUAGGCAGCUAAAAAGCCAAUUUUGUAUUCUUGAUUUGCUACUUUAAUUAAAGCUGAAGAAAGCACUUUUGCAUAUACAGACAUAUUUUAUCAUGGGAAAACUUGGGUGCACCAUUCUCUCCCUUCCUCCCUCCCUCCCUCUUUUCUUUUCUCUUUUCUUUCUUUCCCUCUCUCCUUCUUUUUCUUUCCUUUCCUUCCCCUUCCCCUUUCCCUCCCUCCCGUACUCACUUCCUUCCUUCCUUAUUUUUCCACCUGUUCAGCCUCCUGUAUUUCCAAUCUAUGCAGGCACCUAGCCAGGAACUGGAGUUAUCCCUAGCUCCUUUUUCCUUUGGAGAAACAAACCUAACUGUGUCUAUCUUCAAUCUCGCCUUUGAACUGAUGCGGUUCAUCCUGCCAUAAUCUGUCAUGCUCCUCUUUUUUUUUCAUAACACUUAUUAUAGCUUUUAAUUACAUAUUUACUUGGGUAAAUUUAUUUAGAGUCUAUUUCCACGGGGAUAGAGACAAUUUUGUUGUACAGACAGUGACUAGAAUAGGCCUGCCACAUGAGAGGCACUGAAUAAAUCUAGGUUGAGUUUUUUAAAUUGAAUGAUUUGUGUCAUUUAAAAAAUAUUUCUUAAUAAUUGAUGAUCUUUUGGCCUCCAAUAAUCUUCUGAUUUUUCACCUCACUGCUGUCACUAUAGUGCAUUGUAAAGGGCUAGAGGAUAGGAACCACAUCGUUUUAUCGCUGUAUCCCCCAAACCUAGGUCAAUGCCUGACCCAUUUUAGCAAAUCACUCACCUUUGUUACAUUAAUAAAUGAACGUGCAUCUUAAUAAGCAACAAUCAUGAAAUGAUUUUAUGUUUUGAUGAACCUCCUAGAAGGUCCAUACUGCUCUUUAUAGGUUUCUAUGAAGAAUAUCUUAACACCACAGGAUUGCAGUACUGGAUACUGGAUACUAGAAACAGAAACCCACCCCAACAAAUCUAUGGUAAACUCAAAUGGUCAAAACAAAGCAGAUUAUUCUGUACCUUCCCAGAGCAAGACUAUAUCCUAUAUUUAAUGCUUCAGUCAGUCCAGCUUUAUUAUUUAUUUUUUGUAAGAAAAGUUAUUUCCAGGCACGGUGGUUCACACCUGUAACCUCAGUACUUUGGGAGGUUGAGGCCGGAGGUUCACUUGAGCCCAGGAGUUCAAGACCAGCCUGGGCAACACAGCAAGAGCCCCUCUCUACAAAAAAUAAAAAAAAAAAAUUAGCUGAGUGUGGUGGCAUGUGCAUGUAGUCCCAACUACUCGAGAGGCUGAGAUGGGAGGAUUAUUUAAACCCAAGAGGUCAAGGCUGCAGUGAGCUGUGAUCAUGCCAUUGCACUCCAUUCAGCCUGGGUGACAGAGCAAAAACCCUGUCUCAAAAAAAAAAAAAAAAAGUUAUUUAUUCUAACUUGAUAGGGGACAUUCUCCACCCUUAAGUACCUUUCACUGGCAGCAAAAUUUCUUUCACAUUAAUCAAUCUGAAAUUCCUUUCACCCAAUUAUAUCCAAUUAGAACUCUUUGUUCAAGGAAAGUAAAUUAUUUUUUGCCACACCUCUACUUCCCCCUUACACCUUUUGAGUAUUUAUAGAA